GACGAACGCUGGCGGCGUGCUUAACACAUGCAAGUCGAACGGAAAGGCCCUGCUUUUGUGGGGUGCUCGAGUGGCGAACGGGUGAGUAACACGUGAGUAACCUGCCCUUGACUUUGGGAUAACUUCAGGAAACUGGGGCUAAUACCGGAUAGGAGCUCCUGCUGCAUGGUGGGGGUUGGAAAGUUUCGGCGGUUGGGGAUGGACUCGCGGCUUACCAGCUUGUUGGUGGGGUAGUGGCUUACCAAGGCUUUGACGGGUAGCCGGCCUGAGAGGGUGACCGGCCACAUUGGGACUGAGAUACGGCCCAGACUCCUACGGGAGGAAGCAGUGGGGAAUAUUGCACAAUGGGCGGAAGCCUGAUGCAGCAACGCCGCGUGCGGGAUGACGGCCUUCGGGUUGUAAACCGCUUUCGCCUGUGACGAAGCGUGAGUGACGGUAAUGGGUAAAGAAGCACCGGCUAACUACGUG
rnacentral:rRNA from 1 species